UACGAAGGGGGCUAGCGUUGCUCGGAAUCACUGGGCGUAAAGCGUACGUAGGCGGCCUCUUAAGUCGGUGGUGAAAUCCUGGAGCUCAACUCCAGAACUGCCUUCGAUACUGGGAGUCUCGAGUCCGAGAGAGGUGAGUGGAACUGCGAGUGUAGAGGUGAAAUUCGUAGAUAUUCGCAAGAACACCAGUGGCGAAGGCGGCUCACUGGCUCGGUACUGACGCUGAGGUGCGAAAGCGUGGGGAGCAAACAGG
rnacentral:rRNA from 1 species